rnacentral:rRNA from 1 species
UACGUAGGUGACCAGCGUUGUCCGGAUUUACUGGGCGUAAAGAGCGCGCAGGCGGUCGUUCAAGUCGAGUGUGAAAGCCCCCGGCUCAACUGGGGAGGGUCAUUCGAUACUGAUCGACUUGAAGGCAGGAGAGGGAAGCGGAAUUCCCGGUGUAGUGGUGAAAUGCGUAGAUAUCGGGAGGAACACCAGUGGCGAAGGCGGCUUCCUGGACCGACACUGACGCUGAGGCGCGAAAGCUAGGGGAGCAAACGGG